rnacentral:lncRNA from 1 species
AAAGGAGUUGUCAUUGGGUUUAUAAGUGAUUUAGACACUAGUAAUAAGAACUGGGCUUAAGCAUUUUGGGCUGUUGGCUGGGCCCAACGAGUUAUUAUUGCUAGUGGGCUGGGUCGUUAUAUUUGGUAUCAGAGCCGGUUCACCAGCUGGACAUGUGCAGCGAGUCUCGGUUGAGCCAAGGUCUGGAUGAUGGGCUAGCGAGACGAGUCUCACAUCGCAUGGUGAUCUUGGGCUGUGUGUGUGAUUG